rnacentral:miRNA from 1 species
CUCGGGGAUGUGGACAGCACA